rnacentral:tRNA from 1 species
GCCCGAGUGGCGCAAUUGGCUGACGCGGAGGACUCAAAAUCCUCUGCCCGAAAGGGCGUGUGGGUUCGAGUCCCACCUCGGGCA